CCUACGGGAGGCAGCAGUAGGGAAUAUUGCUCAAUGGGGGAAACCCUGAAGCAGCAACGCCGCGUGGAGGAUGAAGGUUUUCGGAUUGUAAACUCCUUUUGUUAGAGAAGAUAAUGACGGUAUCUAACGAAUAAGCACCGGCUAACUCCGUGCCAGCAGCCGCGGUAAUACGGAGGGUGCAAGCGUUACUCGGAAUCACUGGGCGUAAAGAGCGCGUAGGUGGCAUAUUAAGUCUGGUGUUAAAUGCAGAAGCUCAACUUCUGUUCGGCACUGGAUACUGGUAAGCUUGAAUGCGGUAGAGGUAAAGGGAAUUCCUGGUGUAGCGGUGAAAUGCGUAGAUAUCAGGAGGAACAUCGGUGGCGUAAGCGCUUUACUGGGCCGUAAUUGACACUGAGGAACGAAAGCCGGGGUAGCAAAUGGGAUUAGAUACCCGGGUAGUC
rnacentral:rRNA from 1 species